GACAUCCUGUGAAGACUGUUGCAUUGUGUUAAGGCUUGGCAUCCUGUGAAGAUUGUUGUGUUAAGGCUUGACAUCCUGUGAAGAGUGCUGGAAUUUACACGUUGAGGAUUGUUCGACGUGGGUUCAGAUUACAGAAGAAGAAGGGAUUCUUGCUGCAAGUCUGGUUUUGAUUAUUACAGCUAUAUUUUGGUUUUGGGUUAGAGAGGAGAUUUAUAUUUUUGAAGCGAGG
rnacentral:lncRNA from 1 species